CCUCUGUGACCUUCUAAAAUGGCGUCAGCUUGUGUUUUUCCAGCAGCCCGGUGCAGGACGGAGCCGAUAAACUGGAUGAUUUGUUCUAUUUCAACCAUCAAACACCAAACCUGUGAGCUUCUCAGCUCGUCUCGUGUCUCCGCCCCUCUUCCUGCUUCCUUCAUGCAUUAAACGUGUCUAAGCUCGACCUCGUGACCUUGUGUGUUGCAGCUCGUCCUCUGUUUGUGGCUGAAUAAUUCAUUUCUGGCUGCUGUUUGCUCCAUCUGCAUGCUGCUCUGCUUCCCUCUCAGCUCUCAGGCGGAUCUCCACGGCGACCGGCUGUGAUUGACAGGUCUGCCUCUGCAUCACUGACGAUGCUCCAGAACCAGGGAGGAAAUAAAACAAACCUGCACCAACCUGGAGGUCUGAACGUCAUACAAACACAUUGAAGGAGGAUUCUGACAGUUUAUGGACACGUUUCAUCAUCAAAUAUUAGCUCAGUUCAGGAUCCGUAGAAGUACACGUUUGAGGUCAUACGUUACAUAUUAGGAUUUUUACAAACAACUCAUAUGAAGAGGUUAAAAAAUGCAGCAUUAAGUGAAAUCACCCAACAGUAUACACAUGUAGAGCUGAAACACAAAACUAAUUAGCAGCUAUUGAUGUAAAAAGUUUCUGCUUUUCCUUUAAAUUUAAGAAUAAUACAACCAUAAUAAUUCAUAAUUUCAUUUAGCCGCCACAGCUGAAGAUUACUGAUGGAAAACUGAAGAAAAAAAACUCCAACUUCCGUGAUUCCGGAGCAGCGCCUGGAGGUGGAGGACAAAGACGAUGGCUGGAACAAACCGACAGUAAAAACAAAACGACAGUUAAGAGAGCAAACCAAAAACUAGACCCAAUAUUAGAGAUUCAGUCAUAGUUUCUGUAAAUGGACACAAAAAGACAGAAACCAAUUAGAAAGCGACGCAAAAUGAACACAACUAAAUGCAAAACGGCCGCAAAGAUGCACAAAACGACUAGAAAGUGAUUAAAACGGACUAAAAUUGACUCAAAAUGAUGACAAAACAAGAACAAAACAACAGAAUGAGACACAAAAUGACUGAAAACAAACAUCAAGAAACACAAAAAGAGAUGAAAAAUAGAUGAAAAAUGAACAAAACCAGACGUUAAUUCACUGCGAACAGAAAUUAAAUAACUUCCUAGACACACAAAAUGACUGUCAGGUGCAAAAUGAGUGCAAAGACACAGAAAAUCAUGCAGAAAGAAAUUAAAAAUGACUAAAAGAAACACAAAAUGCGCAUAAAUAGAUGCCGAUUUCAUGUACAGAGAGACAAAAACCACAUAUUCAACACACAAAGAUCUGACAAGAUGCAAAAUGAACACAAACAAGUGCCGAACGGCCUCAAAGACACAAAAAAUGACCAGAAAAAGACAAAAAGUGACAAAAAUGACACAAAAAAUGACCAGAAAAAAUUCAAAAAGUGACAAAAAUGACACAAAGAAUGACCAGAAAAAGACAAAAAGUAACAAAAAUGACACAAAGAAUGACCAGAAAAAGACAAAAAUGACACAAAAAAUGACCAGAAAAAGUUGAAAAGUGCCAAAAAUGGACUUUUUCUUUUAUUUUUAUCCACAAAUCAUUAAAUUUACUGUAAAUUCCAGCAUUAUGUAAGAAUACAUUGAUUUAAUGUUCAGAAUUUCAUUUUAUUGGCUGAUUUUACUGUUUCUACUAAACCAAAAGGUUUAUUCCUGGAUCAAUCAGUGACGAACAGAUGGGGGCAAAGCUGCACCACAUGAUUAACAGAUUAUUGAACAAAUAGUGAAGGUAACGCUGAGUUUCACACCUAUAUUUGGUGUUAAAAUCUAAAAUGAAGCGACUGUGAGCAUCAGUUAGGAAUGAAUGAAUCUGCUGCCGGCGGUCUGGGCUGGGUGGAGCUACCUGGAGGAGAACCUGAGGUGGAUCCAGGUGGAAGCUGACGAGGCGGUACUGACUUCAGGCCCAGCAGGCGUCGCUCAGACAGCCUAUUUACAGCAAAAUAUCAGUUAUCUGAGGGUGAUUAUUCCUCUGGAUGUUGGAGCUUUUACUGCUGGGCUGCAGGAAUGGGGGUCGGCGUGUUGUCACCGAGGGAUUUCUGUCACAUUAAUCCUGGAUGUUUACAUUCAGGCUGCAGCUGUAAACAGUUGUUCCAUUAAACGGCAGCCUUUAACCCGGCUUCAGCUCCUGCUUUUGGUUUCACAGGUUUAACAUCUAGCCUCAGUGGUUCCAGUUAAAGUCACUGAUUAACUGGAAACUUGUGGAACAAACGACAUUUUACCAGCUAAUGAGAAUGUUUUACAGAAUUCCACACAUGAAAUGGAUUCCCUGAUGAGAUGAUGUUAUAUUAGCUAUAAUGACGACACAUUAACAGACCUGCAGAGCUUCAAUAAUAUGGAGUUAUAGGUCAGUGGAACAAAAUAAAAUCAAUCAAACCUCCUCACAACCAGCUGGUUCUUCAUCUCCAGUAACUUUAUUAAUGAUCAGAGUUCUACCUUCAGACUGGGAAUGUCUCCAGAGUUCCAGGUCCUUCAAGUCCAUAUAGUCCCAUGUUGAAGGUUCUAGAGUAGACCUACCGACAGCUAGACAGCUGUCUUUAGGUCCACUCUAGAACUUUCUACAGCUGUCUUUAGGUAUACUAUAGAACUUUCUACAGCUGUCUUUAGGUCUACUAUGGAACUUUCUACAGCUGUCUUUAGGUCUACUAUAGAACUUUCUUCAGCUGUCUUUAGGUCUACUAUGGAACUUUCUACAGCUGUCUUUAGGUCUACUUCAGAACUUUCUACAGCUGUCUUUAGGUCUACUAUAGAACUUUCUUCAGCUGUCUUUAGGUCUACUAUGGAACUUUCUACAGCUGUCUUUAGGUCUACUA